GACGAACGCUGGCGGCGUGCUUAACACAUGCAAGUCGAACGGUAAGGCCCUUCGGGGUACACGAGUGGCGAACGGGUGAGUAACACGUGGGUGAUCUGCCCUGCACUUCGGGAUAAGCCUGGGAAACGGGGUCUAAUACCGGAUAGGACUCCGGACUGCAUGGUCUGGGGUGGAAAGCUUUUGCGGUGUGGGAUGGGCCCGCGGCCUAUCCGCUUGUUGGUGGGGUGAUGGCCUACCAAGGCGACGACGGGUAGCCGGCCUGAGAGGGUGACCGGCCACACUGGGACUGAGAUACGGCCCAGACUCCUACGGGAGGCAGCAGUGGGGAAUAUUGCACAAUGGGCGCAAGCCUGAUGCAGCGACGCCGCGUGAGGGAUGACGGCCUUCGGGUUGUAAACCUCUUUCAGCAUCGACGAAGCGAAAGUGACGGUAGGUGCAGAAGAAGGACCGGCCAACUACGUGCCAGCCGCCGCGGUAA
rnacentral:rRNA from 1 species